GCACUAGUAGCUCAGGCACAGAGCGUCGGUUUUGUAAGCCGAAUGUCGGAAGUUAGAUUCUUCCCUACUGCU
rnacentral:tRNA from 1 species